CUAUUUGUAACGACACCAAUCCUAAUGAGACUCGGAAACGUAAUCCAAAAGAGAAGGAUAAACAUACUUAAGCCCUAACGUGUUGGAUAAGGUAACUCUCCUCUCCUAAUCGUUUAUGAUUUAUCUUAAAUAAUUUGUUAUAACAGUUUGACGUCAGACCAGAAGGAAGAACAUUUGAACUGGUCUAUUGGGACAGCACAAUAACUGUCCUAUUAACUCGCAAUCCUCCGUACGAAUCUCAAUGAUUACUGUUUUAAGGUAAUAUAAAUUAGAACGAGGAGAAUAUUGAAAUGUCUACUUCCUUCUUAACAUCAUCAUUACGAGAUAAAAGCUUAGAAUAUCUUUAGAUUCUUC
rnacentral:lncRNA from 1 species